GACGAACGCUGGCGGCGUGCUUAACACAUGCAAGUCGAGCGAUGAAGUCUCUUCGGAAAUGGAUUAGCGGCGAACGGGUGAGGAACACGUGAAGAAUCUGCCCUCCACUUUGGGAUAACACCGGGAAACCGGUGCUAAUACCGAAUAUUGAAACAUAAGUGGCAUCACUGAGUUUUGAAAGAAUUUCGGUGGAGGAUGACUUCGCGGCCUAUCAGCUAGUUGGUGAGGUAAUGGCUCACCAAGGCAACGACGGGUAGCCGGCCUGAGAGGGCGACCGGCCACACUGGGACUGAGACACGGCCCAGACUCCUACGGGAGGCAGCAAUGGGGAAUAUUGGGCAAUGGAGGAAACUCUGACCCAGCGACGCCGCGUGCGGGAUGAAGGCCUUCGGGUUGUAAACCGCUUUCAGUAGGGAAGAAGCGAAAGUGACGGUACCUGCAGAAAAAGCACCGGCUAACUACGUGCCAGCAGCCGCCGUAA
rnacentral:rRNA from 1 species